GGCAAUAUUAAUAUUACACUCUCUUCGUAGAUGUGUAUAUUAUGUUAAAUAUGCUAGUCCUUUCAUGAUUAUGUGAUAGGUGGUGCAUGGCCGUUCUUAGUUCGUGGAGUGAUCUGUAUGCUUAAUUGCGUUUCACUAAGGGCCUAUAAAUUUACGUAUGUUGCGGCACUUUGACCCCUUUUCUCGUUAAAAGCGCGCGUCUUAGUUUGCUUUGCUCAUACAAUUAGGUCCUGAAAGCAACGAACGUGACCGCAACCUCUUGUUGCCUUUAUUACCAAACAUUGUUUAUGCGUUCUGCGCAUAUCGAUGAAAAAAGGCUUUUUAAACUAGAGGGACCGCUGUUACUUUCUUAAACCAGAGGAAGGUUGCGGCAAUAACAGGUCUGUGAUGCCCUUAGAUGUUCCGGGCUGCACACGUGCUACAAUGAUUAUUGCAGUGAGCAUCUCAUUUUUUACACACCGCAUGCGCGAGUCCAUUUAUUCAUUAUCCUUCGGGUUAUGCUUUAAAUGUGUAUCUCUGCGCGCGGUAAAGCCUGCUUCGAAAGUAAGUGGGUAAUCAAUUAGAAGUAAUGAUUUCCUUUUUUUUUAGCACACAUAUAUACGGCGUUUAUACCCGGGUAAUGCUUGUCGUUACUUUUGUGCGUAUAGAUGUUUUUUCCGUAUGUGCGAUU
rnacentral:rRNA from 1 species